UGGCAAACAGUUUAUUAAUUUGUUAGUUUUUUAAAAAAAAACUCAGCUUUUAUGUUUUAUCAGUUCUUUUGUCUUACUGGAUUUUAAUUGAUCAAUUUCUUCUGUGACAGAGGCUGGCACUAAAGAGAAAGUGCCAGACUGGAGAGUAUGUGAAAUGGAUCACCUCCAUGGGGGAGGGGCCUGAGGCCUUUGGAAUCGGGAGAGGAGGAGAAGACUCUGGCUGGGAGAGCAGUGAGGCCCUCAGUCAGGAGAGUCUAGGUUUUACUUUUAAGAUCUGGAUGAAGCGAAUUUAUUUUGCUUUAAAGAAUUUCAGAAAAACAAGAACCAUGGCCUAGCUAAAGAGGAGGCAAUGAAUACUAGACUUUGCACUAAGGAAUAUACAGUUAGUACUUAAAAGUAAUUCCCUAACUUCUAAAACUAUAGGAACAUUUUUUUUCUAACACCCAACUACUGCUGGAAAUUUGUUGGAUAAAGAUGAUGACUGGAGUGAGAUUAAGGGUCAUCUGCUAUAGAACCAACUCAUGCAUACAGAGUGGCUACUAGCACAUCACCAUAUAGUGCAUAUGCUUCCAUUUUUUCCAACCCAUCUGAACUCUCACACAUUGAACCUCGAUCCAUAGAUCUGAAAUGCUAGUGACACUCAUGUUUCUCCUACAUCUCAAAUGAACAACAGAAUUUAAAUUUCUGCUCGUGAGGAAUUCUUAAACGAUAAACAUUUUUUGUCAUUGCAGAUAAACUAUAAAAAAGUACUUUAAAAAGAAAACUCUAAGCAAAGGGGAAAAUUAAUGAGAUUCAGAACUCUGAAUUUCAGACAGAAAUGGUGAAAAUAUUUCAGUGGAAAUUAGAAGCAAAAAUGAUAAAAGGAGAAAGUAACUCUCACUUGAAUCAGUGAUACAAAUGAAACAGAAUCUUGAGUUAAGUACUAAGCAGGCUGUGAAGGCAGAAAAUCAAGUUACAAAACUGAAGCAGGAAAUAAAAAUGUUCCAGGAUCAGCUUACCA
rnacentral:lncRNA from 1 species